rnacentral:rRNA from 2 species
UGACCUCAAAUCAGGUAGGACUACCCGCUGAACUUAAGCAUAUCAAUAAGCGGAGGAAAAGAAACUAACAAGGAUUCCCCUAGUAACUGCGAGUGAAGCGGGAAAAGCUCAAAUUUAAAAUCUGGCAGUCUCUGGCUGUCCGAGUUGUAAUCUAGAGAAGUGUUAUCCGCGCUGGACCGUGUACAAGUCUCCUGGAAUGGAGCGUCAUAGAGGGUGAGAAUCCCGUCUUUGACACGGACUGCCAGGGCUUUGUGAUGCGCUCUCAAAGAGUCGAGUUGUUUGGGAAUGCAGCUCAAAAUGGGUGGUAAAUUCCAUCUAAAGCUAAAUAUUGGCGAGAGACCGAUAGCGAACAAGUACCGUGAGGGAAAGAUGAAAAGAACUUUGGAAAGAGAGUUAAACAGUACGUGAAAUUGCUGAAAGGGAAACGCUUGAAGUCAGUCGCGUUGGCCAGGGAUCAACCUUGCUUUUGCUUGGUGCACUUUCUGGUUGAUGGGUCAGCAUCAAUUUUGACUAUUGGAAAAAGGUCAAGGGAAUGUGGCAUCUUCGGAUGUGUUAUAGCCCUUAGCUGCAUACAAUGGUUGGGAUUGAGGAACUCAGCACGCCGCAAGGCCGGGUUUUUAACCACGUACGUGCUUAGGAUG